GGCAGGCUUAACACAUGCAAGUCGAGCGGUAACAGGAGAAGCUUGCUUCUCGCUGACGAGCGGCGGACGGGUGAGUAAUACUUAGGAAUCUGCCCAGUAGUGGGGGAUAGCUCGGGGAAACUCGAAUUAAUACCGCAUACACCCUACGGGGAAAAGGGGGCGCUUGCGCUCUCGCUAUUGGAUGAGCCUAAGUCGGAUUAGCUAGUUGGUGGGGUAAAGGCCUACCAAGGCGACGAUCUGUAGCUGGUCUGAGAGGAUGAUCAGCCACACCGGGACUGAGACACGGCCCGGACUCCUACGGGAGGCAGCAGUGGGGAAUAUUGGACAAUGGGGGCAACCCUGAUCCAGCCAUGCCGCGUGUGUGAAGAAGGCCUUUUGGUUGUAAAGCACUUUAAGCAGUGAAGAAGACCUAACGGUUAAUACCCGUUAGCGAUGACAUUAGCUGCAGAAUAAGCACCGGCUAACUCUGUGCCAGCAGCCGCGGUAAUACAGAGGGUGCAAGCGUUAAUCGGAAUUACUGGGCGUAAAGCGAGCGUAGGUGGCUUGAUAAGUCAGAUGUGAAAUCCCCGGGCUUAACCUGGGAACUGCAACUGAUACUGUCAGGCUAGAGUAGGUGAGAGGGAGGUAGAAUUUCAGGUGUAGCGGUGAAAUGCGUAGAGAUCUGAAGGAAUACCGAUGGCGAAGGCAGCCUCCUGGCAUCAUACUGACACUGAGGUUCGAAAGCGUGGGUAGCAAACAGGAUUAGAUACCCUGGUAGUCCACGCCGUAAACGAUGUCUACUAGUCGUUGGGGAACUUGAUUCCUUAGUGACGCAGCUAACGCAAUAAGUAGACCGCCUGGGGAGUACGGCCGCAAGGUUAAAACUCAAAUGAAUUGACGGGGGCCCGCACAAGCGGUGGAGCAUGUGGUUUAAUUCGAUGCAACGCGAAGAACCUUACCUGGUCUUGACAUAUCUAGAAUCCUGCAGAGAUGCGGGAGUGCCUUCGGGAAUUAGAAUACAGGUGCUGCAUGGCUGUCGUCAGCUCGUGUCGUGAGAUGUUGGGUUAAGUCCCGCAACGAGCGCAACCCUUUUCCUUAGUUACCAGCGGUUUGGCCGGGGACUCUAAGGAUACUGCCAGUGACAAACUGGAGGAAGGCGGGGACGACGUCAAGUCAUCAUGGCCCUUACGACCAGGGCUACACACGUGCUACAAUGGUAGGUACAGAGGGCAGCUACACAGCGAUGUGAUGCGAAUCUCAAAAAGCCUAUCGUAGUCCAGAUUGGAGUCUGCAACUCGACUCCAUGAAGUAGGAAUCGCUAGUAAUCGCGGAUCAGAAUGCCGCGGUGAAUACGUUCCCGGGCCUUGUACACACCGCCCGUCACACCAUGGGAGUUGAUUGCACCAGAAGUGGGUAGCCUAACUUUUAGAGGGCGCUCACCACGGUGUGGUUGAU
rnacentral:rRNA from 1 species